AUUGAACGCUGGCGGAAUGCUUUACACAUGCAAGUCGAACGGCAGCACGGACUUCGGUCUGGUGGCGAGUGGCGAACGGGUGAGUAAUGUAUCGGAACGUGCCCAGUCGUGGGGGAUAACGUAGUGAAAAUUACGCUAAUACCGCAUACGAUCUAUGGAUGAAAGCGGGGGAUCGCAAGACCUCGCGCGAUUGGAGCGGCCGCUAUCAGAUUAGGUAGUUGGUGGGGUAAAGGCCCACCAAGCCAACGAUCUGUAGCUGGGCUGAGAGGACGACCAGCCACACUGGAACUGAGACACGGUCCAGACUCCUACGGGAGGCAGCAGUGGGGAAUUUUGGACAAUGGGCGAAAGCCUGAUCCAGCCAUUCCGCGUGCAGGAUGAAGGCCCUCGGGUUGUAAACUGCUUUUGUACAGAACGAAAAGGUUUCUACUAAUACUAGGAGCUCAUGACGGUACUGUAAGAAUAAGCACCGGCUAACUACGUGCCAGCCGCCGCAGUAA
rnacentral:rRNA from 1 species